GACGAACGCUGGCGGCGUGCUUAAUACAUGCAAGUCAACGACUUUUAGAGUAGCAAUAUUUUAAAAGGAGUGGCGCACGGGUGAGUAACACGUAGGUAAUCUGCCUUCAGGACUGACACAACUCGUCGAAAGACGGGCUAAUAUCAGAUAAUGCAGCGGCUCCGCAUGGAGACAGUUGUUAAAGUACAAGCGCCUGAAGAUGAGCCUGCGGUCCAUUAGCUAGUUGGUAGAGUAACAGCCUACCAAGGCAACGAUGGAUAGCUGGUCUGAGAGGAUGAUCAGCCACACUGGAACUGAGACACGGUCCAGACUCCUACGGGAGGCAGCAGUAAGGAAUAUUGCUCAAUGGCCGAAAGGCUGAAGCAGCAACGCCGCGUGAAGGAUGAAUGGCCUUUGGCCUGUAAACUUCUGUAAAAAGGGAAAACAAUCAGGCAUGUCCUGAUUUGAUUGUACCUUUGAAGUAAGCCCCGGCU
rnacentral:rRNA from 1 species